rnacentral:rRNA from 1 species
AGAACGAACGCUGGCGGCAUGCCUAACACAUGCAAGUCGAACGAGACCUUCGGGUCUAGUGGCGCACGGGUGCGUAACGCGUGGGAAUCUGCCCUUGGGUUCGGAAUAACAGCGAGAAAUUGCUGCUAAUACCGGAUGAUGACGUAAGUCCAAAGAUUUAUCGCCUAAGGAUGAGCCCGCGUAGGAUUAGCUUGUUGGUGAGGUAAGAGCUCACCAAGGCGACGAUCCUUAGCUGGUCUGAGAGGAUGAUCAGCCACACUGGGACUGAGACACGGCCCAGACUCCUACGGGAGCAGCGAGGUGGGGAAUAGUU